rnacentral:snoRNA from 1 species
AGGCAGGAUCUGCUCACAGUGUAGCUGUCAUGUGCUACGCUGUCUUUGCCCUCUGCUUAAACUAAAGCUGUCCCAUUCCAACCCUGUCUGCCACAGUGCUGUAGCAGGCAGGGAUGUGUGGCGCCACACAG